UACGUAGGGUGCGAGCGUUAAUCGGAAUUACUGGGCGUAAAGCGUGCGCAGGCGGUUCGUUAAGACAGAUGUGAAAUCCCCGGGCUUAACCUGGGAACUGCAUUUGUGACUGGCGAGCUAGAGUAUGGCAGAGGGGGUUAGAAUUCCACGUGUAGCAGUGAAAUGCGUAGAUAUGACAUAGAACACCAAUUGCGAAGGCAGCUCACUACGGGAUUAUUGACACUGAGGCACGAAAGCGUGGGGAUCAAACAGG
rnacentral:rRNA from 1 species